rnacentral:tRNA from 1 species
GAAGGUAUAGCUCAAGUGGUAGAGCGCAUGCUUAGCAUGCACAAGGUCCUGGGUUCAAUCCCCGGUACUUCA